GACGAACCGAGCGAACGUUGUUCGGAAUCACUGGGCUUAAAGGGCGCGUAGGCGGGCUGUCAAGUCUGGGGUGAAAUCCCACGGCUCAACCGUGGAACUGCCUUAGAUACUGACGGCCUCGAGGGAGAUAGGGGCGAGCGGAACUGUGAGUGGAGCGGUGAAAUGCGUUGAUAUUCACAGGAACUCCGGUGGCGAAGGCGGCUCGCUGGAUCUUUUCUGACGCUGAGGCGCGAAAGCUAGGGGGAGCAAACGGGG
rnacentral:rRNA from 1 species